AACGAACGCUGGCGGCAUGCCUAACACAUGCAAGUCGAACGAGACCUUCGGGUCUAGUGGCGCACGGGUGCGUAACGCGUGGGAACCUGCCCUUAGGUUCGGAAUAACUCCCCGAAAGGGGUGCUAAUACCGGAUAAUGUCUUCGGACCAAAGAUUUAUUGCCUUUGGAUGGGCCCGCGUUGGAUUAGCUAGUUGGUAGGGUAAAAGCCUACCAAGGCGACGAUGCAUAGCUGGUCUGAGAGGAUGAUCAGCCACACUGGGACUGAGACACGGCCCAGAAUCCUACGGGAGGCAGCAGUGGGGAAUAUUGGACAAUGGGCGAAGGCCUGAUCCAGCAAUGCCGCGUGAGUGAUGAAGGCCUUAGGGUUGUAAAGCUCUUUUACCCGGGAUGAUAAUGACGGUACCGGGAGAAUAAGCUCCGGCUAACUCCGUG
rnacentral:rRNA from 1 species